rnacentral:rRNA from 2 species
UAGGGAAUCUUCCACAAUGGACGCAAGUCUGAUGGAGCAACGCCGCGUGAGUGAAGAAGGUUUUCGGAUCGUAAAGCUCUGUUGUUGGUGAAGAAGGAUAGAGGCAGUAACUGGUCUUUAUUUGACGGUAAUCAACCAGAAAGUCACGGCUAACUACGUGCCAGCAGCCGCGGUAAUACGUAGGUGGCAAGCGUUGUCCGGAUUUAUUGGGCGUAAAGCGAGCGCAGGCGGAAUGAUAAGUCUGAUGUGAAAGCCCACGGCUCAACCGUGGAACUGCAUCGGAAACUGUCAUUCUUGAGGGCAGAAGAGGAGAGUGGAAUUCCAUGUGUAGCGGUGGAAUGCGUAGAUAUAUGGAAGAACACCAGUGGCGAAGGCGGCUCUCUGGUCUGCAACUGACGCUGAGGCUCGAAAGCAUGGGUAGCGAACAGG